rnacentral:misc_RNA from 1 species
UUUUUUUUUUUUCCCUUUCCAGUUAAGAGGUGUUUUACCUUUUUUGGUACCCUGAAAAUCCAUAAUUAUUAUUUUGGAUUGAUUAAUCAGUUGCAACACCGCCCGCUAAUUUUAUUUUUAAUUUUCCUUCUUCUUUCAUAAAUCUUAAUUAUCUCCACCAUAACGCAAGAUCAGGUUUUGCAAAAUCUCCCAAGUAAUACCU